CACGUAGUUAGCCGGGGCUUCUUAGUCAGGUACCGUCAUUUUCUUCCCUGCCGAUAGAGCUUUACGUACCGAGAUACUUCUUCACUCACGCGGCGUCGCUGCAUCAGGGUUUCCCCCAUUGUGCAAUAUUCCCCACUGCUGCCUCCCGUAGGAGUUUGGGCCGUGUCUCAGUCCCAAUGUGGCCGUCCACCCUCUCAGGCCGGCUACUGAUCGCUGCCUUGGUGGGCCGUUACCCCGCCAACUAGCUAAUCAGACGCGGAUCCAUCGUAUACCACCGGAGUUUUUCACACUGCCCCAUGCGGAGCCGUGCGCUUAUGCGGUAUUAGCACCUAUUUCUAAGUGUUAUCCCCCGGUAUACGGCAGGUUAUCCACGCGUUACUCACCCGUCCGCCACUAACUCAUAAAUCACUAGGUUUCAAUAUGAGUCCGUUCGACUUGCAUGUGUUAAGCACGCCGCCAGCGUUCAUCCUGACGCCAGGAUACAAACUCU
rnacentral:rRNA from 1 species